UUCGGAUACUCAUUUUGUUCUCGACUUGAUCCUGGUUCGGUUCAAUUAUUUUGGAUAUAUAAAUAUAGGAACCAUUUGGAUAUUUGAGGGUUUUGAUACAGUUUUGGUUUCGUGUAUUUUGGUUUGGUUCCAAUUUGGUACUUCGGUUCUGUUUUUUAUAUGCAUGCCUAAGGAACACCAUAAGAUUUUGAUUGAUAACCAAUCAGAGCCUAGAAGAAAAGGAAGAAUAGUGUUCGAGAAGUUUAGACUACUAGAGUUAGAGUUAGUGAGUCUUCCUCUUAGAUCUAACCAAAUUGCAGAUCUGACUAAAUUGUAUUAGAAGUAGUGCAAUGAAAGAGGUGAUUUCUCUUUUCAUCAUGCUUCUCGUACAACACAAAAAAUUUCCCAAUAUUGCAUUUUUACACCGCUUCAUAACAAUAACAAUUAUUCACAGAAAAUCAUCUUGAAUAUCAUAUGAUCAAAAUCAUGAACAAAUCAUGUGUGGUAUAUUUUCAAUAUAUAGUAUCUAUUUUUGGUUGUAGAAUUAUGUUUUUACAAAAAUUUAUACGUUUAUAUAUUAUCUUUGUAUUUUCUAAAUACAGAUAAAAACUAAAAGUUAAAAAACUAAGCAUAAAAUUGAAAAAUAUAUCUCUAAAUUGAAAAAAUAAAUUUAGAAUUGACUGGUUGUAAGUUGUACUUCUAUGCAUUUCAAUACAUGAAAUUGGUUCUUACGAAAAUCUAAUUUAAUGGUUUAAACUAAUGUUACAAAUGUGUGUGCAACUAUAAAUGUGAAUUACUUAUGUAGGGUUCAUACUGGAAAUAAAAAGCAUCCCCAUUCAUUGAAAUAAUUUUUAUCUCUUCCAAUUGUCACUUUAUUUUUUGUUAUUCUAUAAUAUAGUGUUCUUAAAAACAUCUUUUAUCUUGGAGAGCUUUAUACAACAUAUAUUUGGCACUCUAUUUCCAUUACAUAAUAUUUCAAUAUUUUAUGCAUCUAUCCUUUUCUAUCUAAUCUUAAUUUAAUUUUCUUUCUUAUUUUUAAGUUAGAAUAUGGAGGAAGCUCACUUUUUAAUUUUUUUAUAUCAACAUUCUCUAUAGGAAAUUUCUUACUAAAUGUUUUAGAUUAAUUGUUUAAAUAUGAAUUACUUACAUAGAGUUGAGAUUAGAAGGAAUCCAUUCAUUUAAAUAGUUACAACUCUUAGAAUAUUCAUUUUGUUACGUUAAAUUUUUUUAACAGUUAAGUCUUCUAAAAUUGACAUUUGUUUUGGUAUUAUCUAUCUAUUUAUAUAAAUAAAAUUGGCUUGUCUCUCUCCACAAGCUUCCACAUCAGCAAUCACAUAGGGGCAUAUGUAGACACGUGGCACUCCCAAUUCUUGAAAAAAAAAUUGUAAACGAAAGCUAAUUGGGCCAACCGAUCUUGUAAUGUUAAUUUCUUAUAUUUGGGCUUCUAUCCUCUCUUUUCUUCAGGCCCCAAGUACCAUGUGAAGGUCAACAUAGAGAGCAUCUCCGACCCUUCCUUGUGCCGAUGAAGCCACCUCCGAUGAACUUUCUGUAACGCCUUCGGUUUCCAUUUAUUUUCCCGUUUAAUCGGAUCAGUUACAUGUUUCAUUCAACUUCUCCCACUCUGUAGCAUUUAAUCAUUUUCAUACAUAAUCGAUGGGAGAUCUCUUAUAAAAUUGAACGUUACUAGCGAUGAACAGCCCCAUCUCUGUGAAAUCCAUUUCUUUGAGCUCAAGGCUGGCCGAUGCAGGCAGAGAGUUGCCACACGGAUUCUCCGGUUCCGAGGGAAGACUCUGGAACCAUUCGGGUUUUAUCGUCAUCCAUUUUUGCUUAAUUGAUCAUUAAGUUGGCUUUGGUUUAAUUGAAGAAAUGCAAUCUCAACGUUUAUGUUUUUUGGUAGCUAUACUGUGAGAAGGAAAGGCUGUCAGGUGAUCAGUUUGAACAGCUGAAGGCAUUCAUAGACAUUGGUGAUGUUUUGUGUGCUUGUGGCUCAAUGAAGAGAACCGAGAAAGGUUUUUUUUUUUUUUUUUUGCUAAAAGAACCGAGUAAGGUGAACUCAAAUUAAAUGGUUAAUCUCCUUAGAGAAGCAUUGUUUUUAGUUCUGUUUAUUAACUGUCUGUUCUCUGUUUUUUUUUUUUCAUGGGAGCUUUCUAUAUGUGUGAAUUCCAUUUCAAUUGUCACAAAUUCUCUCCUUCCACUGCCUGCCAGACAAGACACGUAUCAUGGUCUAACUGAUAUUGAUAAACGCUACCGACAAAGAUGUGUGGAUAUGAUUGCUAAUCCUGAAGUGCCUAAUGUGUCCAGCAAAAGAAAAAAAAGCUCAUGCGAUCUUCUUGAAGGAUAUGGACAAUUCUGUGAUUGAUAUGGUGAACAAUAUCCAAGUCUGAGAGUGGAGGUGGAAAACAUGGCGAUGGAGUCGUUGCAAAAAGUGCGGGAGGGAAGUAAGAAAGCAACAAUGCAGCUGGUGGACAUAGAGUACAAUACUGUUGAUUUCUUCUUGAAGCUUCUCCAGCUCUAAGAAUACCAACUUUUUUUCUUGGUUAUGGUUGGUACCUGGAGGUACCGACACCGAAGAGAUCUUCAGGUUGUGAUUUUACGAGGUAAUCUACGCUGGAAGACAUCAUACCGUAUCGAUUUUUUAAAACAUCACAAAGUCUUAUCUGCUGAUUCUAUGUUUGUGUUUGUUUUUGGCCUUCACCUUAUAUAGUUAUAUGCAUGAGCUCUUCACAUAUCGACUAUAUUUGUUUAGUUAUGUAGAUUUCUUUACUCUUUUAGUGUUAUUAAAUCCUUUGAUUAAUUAUUUAUCAAAAACCUCUUUAUUCGAACUGAAAUGAACGAAAAGGUCAUCUACUCAAUCCCUCAAGGAAGCUAUUUAUAAGACAUUUAACUUUUCUGAAUGAAACAAAAUAAAUCUAUUCACAAUAUGACCCCUACAAAAAGAAUAAAAUGUUAUGAAAGAGAAAAUAUCUAAAUGCUUUGAAACAAAAUAUUGAUCAAGUUAAAUCAAUAUUAAUUUGGUUAAUAUGUUUUUAUCGCUCCAAAUUAGUUUAGAAGCAAAUCUUUGUAAAUAUAUCCAACACACAUAUAAAUUAAUAAAUAAUAAACAUUAAAUCUGUGUAGUAAAAUGUAUAUUAGUAUAUCUUAUAAAGCUUUAAGCCUUUAAGCCUUUAUCACCACUAAAUAUUAGGAUAUCUUAUAUAUAUAUAAACUCUAAGUUAAACUAAAAAAAAAUAUGAAUGUAAAAUUAUUAAUAAAAAAUUAUAGAUAAGUAUUUUAAGAUAAUAAAUAAAUAUGAUCGUUUAAUUUUAGAAUGGUUUAGGUUAAUCUAUACCGCGUUAAGCUGAGAAAUCCUAUAGUUUAAAAAUAUUUAGCUCAAAAAUCAUAUAUUACUGUUUCGUUUAUAUAGAUUGGUUUAGGUGUGUUUUAGGGUUAAGUGGACUUUGGUCCUAAUUAAAAGAUUUUAAAAUAAAUUAAGAAUAUUAUAAGAAUUAUUUAGUAAAAUAUGUUAAUAGCUUCAGAUUAACGAUAAACGAAAAAAAACUCUAGAAAAUAAAACAUGUAGAUUAGUCAAAAACAAUGUGAUUUUUAUAUGUAGUCAAAGAAAGUUUUGAAUAAAAACAUUGUUAGAGACACUCAUAAUCACAGAUAGAAUAUAUUCAGAUAUACCAUAAUCAAGUAUAAAACUUUCACACACAAUUGAGAAAAUAUAUUAAAUUAUUAUAUGUAUAAUCUCAUGCAAAUGUAAAAGAAGAAUAUAUACUGAAAUGAAUACUGAAAAAAAAAGAGUACAAUGUUAUAAAAUAUAGUUGAUAACAAAUAAAAAUUCAGACACAUAAAAUUAUAAACAGAUGACAAAUGUUAACAAAAUAAAUAGUCUUCAGAAAUAAUUAAUUUAUAAUAUGAUCUUA